GAUAAUAUAAGCCAAAUUCCUUAUUGACUUCAUCUUUACCUGACAGAAGUGCCAUCCACAUCCUAUUACAGACUUUAUUCAUCUCCUCGACAUCCUAAAGGCUUUCACUUUUGCCCUCCCAUGGAUCAGCCAGGGCAGCAAGGACCUCCAGGGAGGAGAGCAGGGCCCAAUGAAAGACGUCCUUUGCAGGAAGACAGACUUCCCUGCUCCCCAAUGGUUGGAGGAUCCUGGAAGACUGGCGAACCAGGAGGCCUCACCAGAGCAGGCUUUGCCACAACAACCCAAUCAGCCAGGGGAGCAAGGACCUCCAGGGAGGAGAGCAGGGCCCAAUGAAAGACGUCCUUUGCAGGAAGACAUAGACUUCCCUGCUCCCCAAUGGUUGGAGGAUCCUGGAAGACUGGUGAACCAGAAGGCCUCACCGGAGCAGGCUUUGCCACAACAACCCAACCAGGUCUCUGCCAAAGAAAAAUUUCGCUAUAAAGCAUCCCUGCCUACCUUAAACAUCUCGUAUUGUUUAACUGUACCUUGUACCUUCUCUCUCUUGCCUAUUAUUUAUGUUUUGUCUUCUGUGCAAAUUUCUCCCCUGUCAUCUCCCCAGCAGCCACCUGGAGGCACUGGAAGACAGGAGAACUAGAGAACAGCAUUCCCCAUGAUUGUCACUCCAGGAGGACAUGGACUUUCAUCUUUUUUCAUGGCUGGAGAGUGUAGCAGUCCAUAGAAGGUGGAGAGCAGCUGGAAAGCAUCACUAUUCCACGAUCAUACAAAGCAUUUUCUCUGGGAAAUUAUGAAUUUCUGUUUAAAAGAUUAAUAAAACUACUGUCUGAAACAACA
ensembl:lncRNA